GAUGAACGCUGGCGGCGUGCCUAAUACAUGCAAGUCGAGCGAACAGACGAGGAGCUUGCUCCUCUGACGUUAGCGGCGGACGGGUGAGUAACACGUGGAUAACCUACCUAUAAGACUGGGAUAACUUCGGGAAACCGGAGCUAAUACCGGAUAAUAUAUUGAACCGCAUGGUUCAAUAGUGAAAGACGGUUUUGCUGUCACUUAUAGAUGGAUCCGCGCAGCAUUGGCUAGUUGGUAAGGUAACGGCUUACCAAGGCAACGUUGCGUAGCCGACCUGAGAGGGUGAUCGGCAACCCUGGACCUGAGACACGGCCCGAACUCCUACGGGAGGCAGCAGGAGGGAAUCUUCCGAAAGGGGCGAAAGCCUGACGGAGCAACGCGGCGGGGGUGAGGAAGGUCUUCGGUUCGUAAAACUCUGUUAUUAGGAAAGAACAAAUGUGGAAGUAACUAUGCACGUAUUGACGGUACCUAAGCAGAAAGCCACGGCUAACUACGU
rnacentral:rRNA from 1 species